UACGUAGGGUGCGAGCGUUAAUCGGAAUUACUGGGCGUAAAGCGUGCGCAGGCGGUUUUGUAAGCCAGAUGUGAAAUCCCCGGGCUUAACCUGGGAAUGGCAUUUGGGACUGCAAGGCUUGAGUGCGGCAGAGGAGACUGGAAUUCCUGGUGUAGCAGUGAAAUGCGUAGAUAUCAGGAGGAACACCGAUGGCGAAGGCAGGUCUCUGGGCUGAUACUGACGCUGAAUCACGAAAGCUAGGGGAGCAAACGGG
rnacentral:rRNA from 1 species